rnacentral:rRNA from 1 species
UACGUAGGGGGCAAGCGUUGUCCGGAUUUAUUGGGCGUAAAGAGCGUGUAGGCGGUUAGGUAGGUCCGUUGUGAAAACUCGAGGCUCAACCUCGAGACGCCGAUGGAAACCAUCUGACUAGAGUCCGGAAGAGGAGAGUGGAAUUCCUGGUGUAGCGGUGAAAUGCGCAGAUAUCUGGAGGAACACCGGUGGCGAAGGCGGCAUCCUGGACCAACACUGACACUGAGGAGCGAAAGCCAGGGGAGCAAACGGG